rnacentral:tRNA from 1 species
UGGAAAGGUGACUGAGGGGUUGAAGGUGAUGGUUUGCUAAAUCAUUAUAUAAAGUUUUAUAUCGUGGGUUCGAAUCCCAUUCUUUCCAA